rfam:Sorghum bicolor cultivar BTx623 chromosome 4, whole genome shotgun sequence.
GUAGUCGGAUUCGUAUCCAUCCACAUGUGUUGGGGUGGAUUAGAGUAGAACUUGAACUAAAUUCCAUUUCAAUCCACUCCAACACAUGUGGAUUGAGGUGAAUUCGACG